GACGAACGCUGGCGGCGUGCCUAAUACAUGCAAGUCGAACGCAGUGGGGGCGGGUGAGUAACACGUGGGUCACCUCCCAACAGAGGGGAUAACACUUGGAAACAGGUGCUAAACCGAUACUGAUGGAUGGCCCCGCGGUGCAUUAGCUUGUUGUGGCGGUAACGGCUCACCAAGGCCACGAUUCAUAGCCGACCUGGGAGGGUGAGCGGCCACACAGGGACUGAGACACGGCCCAGACUCCUACGGGAGGCAGCAGUAGGGAAUCUUGGGAAAUGGGCGAAAGUCUGACCGAGCGACGCCGCGUGGGUGAAGAAGGUUUUCGGAUCGUAAAACUCUGUUGUGAGAGAAGCGGUAUCUAACCAGAAAGCCACGGCUAACUACGUGCCAGCCGCCGCGGUAAUAC
rnacentral:rRNA from 1 species